AUCGCUUCUCGGCCUUUUGGCUAAGAUCAAGCAUAGUAUGUGUUCUUAUCAGUUUAAUAAAGUAGACAGGUCCUCUUGUCUUACAGUUAUAGAGGUGCAGGGCAGAUCCGAAGAUCCACACCUGGAGCUGUCCCUCCUGC
ensembl:snRNA U2 U2 spliceosomal RNA